UACCCACCUCAACCCCGACUGGGUUGGGCUCUAGCUUCUUUUUGAGGUGUGAUUUGGAUUCCAAUCCUUUAAAUCCUCACUCUUAUGCUUAAUUCUGCAGUUUCAGACAUUUUAGUACUUCCAUAGCUGAUGGAUCUUAGUUCUAAUGGAAUACAGAGCUGGCAGGCAUGAUACGAAGAGGCUGGCUAUUACAGGAGGUCUCAUCGGACAAAUUCAGAGGCAUUUGGAUGAUCAAACACUCUACACAUUAUUGUAGACAACGCAGAAACAGUUGCCUUAGUGUUGUCCCAAAACAGUAAUUGAAGUGCAUAGAAACUACAGUCCUGGUGUCUUCACUAAAGUCAGAGAUGGACAUGCAGGACUUGAAAUUCAAGAAUUCAUUGUGAACCAGU